rnacentral:tRNA from 1 species
GCAGCGGUGGUUUAGUGGUAGAAUUCUCGCCUUGCAUGCAGGAGACCUGGGUUGGAUUCCUGGCCAAUGCA